UACGUAGGGACCGAGCGUUGCCCGGAAUCAUUGGGCGUAAAGAGCGUGUAGGCGGCCACUUAAGUCCUGCGUGAAAUCUUGCGGCUCAACCGCAAGCGGUCGUGGGAAACUGGGUGGCUAGAGUGCGGGAGAGGAGAGUGGAAUUCCUGGUGUAGCGGUGGAAUGCGCAGAUAUCAGGAAGAACACCCGUGGCGAAGGCGGCUCUCUGGAACGCAACUGACGCUGAGACGCGAAAGCGUGGGGAGCAAACAGG
rnacentral:rRNA from 1 species